UACGGAGGGGGCAAGCGUUGUCCGGAAUCACUGGGCGUAAAGGGCGCGUAGGCGGCUGGGGAAGUCGGUGGUGAAAGCUCGUGGCUCAACUACGAGUCGGCCAACGAUACUCCUCGGCUCGAGCACUGUAGAGGCAGGUGGAAUUCCGGGUGUAGCGGUGGAAUGCGUAGAGAUCCGGAAGAACAUCGGUGGCGAAGGCGGGACUCUGGGCCGAUACUGACGCUGAGGAGCGAAAGCGUGGGGAGCGAACAGG
rnacentral:rRNA from 1 species